AAAGAGAUAAUGAAUUCAUUCAUGAUGAUGAUAUAGAUGAUGUGUAGCUAAUAGUAUUGGAAAUGUCACAUCGAAGAGGAAGAGUACAAAUAGUGUCUCCAGAAGAUGAGUUGGACAAUCUACAACAACUCUUAGACAUACAACCUGCUGCAACUACUACUCCUAGUAGUUCUGAUCCUUCUGAUUCUUCAGAUCCUUCUGUUGUUGGUUCAUCCUCUAGCAAAAAGAGGACACGUGGCCUAACACGUAACUUAGAUUUACUUAGUAUGAAACCGGGG